rnacentral:rRNA from 1 species
AACGUAGGUUCCGAGCGUUAUCCGGAUUUACUGGGCGUAAAGCGCGUUCAGGCGGUUUGGCAAGUCGGGCAUGAAAUCUCUCGGCUCAACCGGGAGAGGUUGUCCGAUACUGCUGGACUUGAGGGCAGUAGAGGGUGGUGGAAUUCCGGGUGUAGUGGUGAAAUGCGUAGAGAUCCGGAGGAACACCGACGGCGAAGGCAGCGCCCUGGCCGCCAUCUGACGCUCAGGCACGAAAGCUGGGGGAGCGAACAGG